GAUGAACGCUGGCGGCGUGCCUAAUACAUGCAAGUCGAGCGAACAGACGAGGAGCUUGCUCCUCUGACGUUAGCGGCGGACGGGUGAGUAACACGUGGAUAACCUACAUAUAAGACUGGGAUAACUUCGGGAAACCGGAGCUAAUACCGGAUAAUAUAUUGAACCGCAUGGUUCAAUAGUGAAAGACGGUUUUGCUGUCACUUAUAGAUGGAUCCGCGCCGCAUUAGCUAGUUGGUAAGGUAACGGCUUACCAAGGCAACGAUGCGUAGCCGACCUGAGAGGGGGAACGGCCACACGGGAACUGAGACACGGUCCAGACUCCUACGGGAGGCAGCAGUAGGGAAUCUUCCGCAAUGGGCGAAAGCCUGACGGAGCAACGCCGCGUGAGUGAUGAAGGUCUUCGGAUCGUAAAACUCUGUUAGUAGGGAAGAACAAAUGUGUAAGUAACUAUGCACGUAUUGACGGUACCUAAUCAGAAAGCCACGGCUAACUACGUG
rnacentral:rRNA from 1 species